UUGGAGGGCAAGUCUGGUGCCAGCAGCCGCGGUAAUUCCAGCUCCAAUAGCGUAUAUUAAAGUUGUUGCAGUUAAAAAGCUCGUAGUUGAAUUUCGAGACCGGCUUAUUGGUCGUGCUUUUGUACGUACUGGUAUAAUCGGUUUCUCCUUUCUGACGAACUAUAAUGCCAUUAAUUUGGUGUUAUAGGGAAUCAGGACUGUUACUUUGAAAAAAUUAGAGUGUUUAAAGCAGGCUCACGCUUGAAUACAUUAGCAUGGAAUAACGGAAUAGGACGUUUGAUUCUAUUUUGUUGGUUUCUAGGAUCGACGUAAUGAUUAAUAGGGAUAGUUGGGGGCAUUAGUAUUCAAUUGUCAGAGGUGAAAUUCUUGGAUUUAUUGAAGACUAACUACUGCGAAAGCAUUUGCCAAGGAUGUUUUCAUUAAUCAAGAACGAAAGUUAGGGGAUCGAAGACGAUCAGAUACCGUCGUAGUCUUAACCAUAAACUAUGCCGACUAGGGAUCGGAUGAUGUUAAUUUUAAUGACUCAUUCGGCGCCUUACGGGAAAC
rnacentral:rRNA from 1 species